AACGCACAUUGCGCCCCGUGGUAUUCCGCGGGGCAUGCCUGUUCGAGCGUCAUUAUGACCAAUCCCGCGUGCGGGGUCUUGGGCACCGCCGCCUGGCGGGCCUCAAAAUCAGUGGCGGUCCGGCCGGGCUCUGAGCGUAGUACAUCUUCUCGCUACAGGGUCCCGGGCGGCACUGGCCAGCAACCCCCAAUCUUUUACAGGUUGACCUCGGAUCAGGUAGGGAUACCCGCUGAACUUAA
rnacentral:misc_RNA from 1 species